UACGUAGGGUGCGAGCGUUAAUCGGAAUUACUGGGCGUAAAGCGUGCGCAGGCGGUUUUGUAAGCCAGAUGUGAAAUCCCCGGGCUUAACCUGGGAAUGGCAUUUGGGACUGCAAGGCUUGAGUGCGGCAGAGGAGACUGGAAUUCCUGGUGUAGCAGUGAAAUGCGUAGAUAUCAGGAGGAACACCGAUGGCGAAGGCAGGUCUCUGGGCUGACACUGACACUGAGGAGCGAAAGCCAGGGGAGCAAACGGG
rnacentral:rRNA from 1 species